rnacentral:rRNA from 1 species
AUUGAACGCUGGCGGCAGGCCUAACACAUGCAAGUCGAGCGGAGCGGCGGACGGGUGAGUAAUGGCUGGGAAACUGCCUGGUAGUGGGGGAUAACGUCAGGAAACGGGCGCUAAUACCGCAUACUAUCAGAUGAGCCUAGGUCGGAUUAGCUCGUUGGUGGGGUAAAGGCCUACCAAGGCGACGACCCGUAGCUGGUCUGAGAGGAUGAUCAGUCACACUGGAACUGAGACACGUUCCAGACUCCUACGGGAGGCAGCAGUGGGGAAUAUUGGACAAUGGGCGAAAGCCUGAUCCAGCCAUGCCGCGUGUGUGAAGAAGGUCUUCGGAUUGUAAAGCACUUUAAGUUGGGAGGCGUUACCAACAGAAUAAGCACCGGCUAACUUCGUGCCAGCAGCCGCGGUAAUUC